CAGGGAUUCAGUUCCCUCACCCCUUAAGUAAAAAUAGCCCUCGCUCUGCCUAUGUCAGAGGUAUUGUGAGGAUUGAAUGAAAUGGUGUCGUGAAAGUACUUCCAAAACUUGAAGAUACUGUGUUGAUACAAUUGGUCCUUUUACAACCUAAUUUUGGCAAUGGAACAAGUGAGCAGGUGCUCACAUUUUGGUAAACUCUGCACCGAGGCGAGUCACGAAGGGAUUACUGGCCCUGGGUAUAAAUAGCCCAGGGGAGCUUUAAAAGGUUGCAGUAGGAAUCUCAGAUACCCUCCGUUUUUUAGGGCCCCAAACUUCCUGAUGUAUUUUCAUUUUAAAAAUGUGUUUAUUGCCGGCAGGGCUUUAUAAGGAGCCUGAGACUCCAGAAGCUAAGAGCUUUAGCAGGCACAGGCCGGCGGCUAGCAGCGGGGCCGGGCCUAGGGCUCAAGCUUCCUGGCUCCUGGUCUAAAGCUCGGGCAGCUCCAGAGAAACCCUCCAGCAGGAUAUAAAUCCUUUAGCGCCGGUUUCCUUUGUCUCAAGCCCAUACAAGUUAAUGAGCAAGAACAAGAAGAGACACAUUGAGUCCCAUGGCAGUAUCCUUUCCAGGGCCUUCCGAUACCUCACCUAUGAACAGUUUUCACAGGGAAAGUAAUGGGCGCCAUGUUUCAUCUAAAUUGGUUUCCUUUCUGCAGAGCCAAAUCCAUCUAUUUUCAGGAGAGAAGAGCUGGGUGCUUACGGCCUCCCUGUGGAGUUCUGCGUGGGGGUUGGACAAGAUGGGAGCUUCAGAGUGGGCCAGCCUGCCUGGGCUUCGUGAUGAGACGGCCAGACCACUAUUAGCCUGCGGAGGGGACCCCUCUGUUUUUGAGGUUCUCUGUUUUGAGCUCGAUUUCUUUAUUUCGAAGCGGGCCAGCAGGGAGCAAAGCAGCAAGACAUUUGGAAUAAAAGCAAGAGUCCAGUGACCCUUCUUCUUAUUAGGGAAGAGCGCAACUGCUGAUUGAUCCUCUUUACCCAAGUGCGUUCCCCAUUGACGGCCCGCAGGUAUCGCAGCGGCGUAAACGGAAGGCCCAACGGGGAGGCCGCGAACGUAGAGAUGGAAAACCAGGAGAAAGGGAAAGAGAUGGAGAAGGCAGGUUCCAGAAGCCCGCACCCAUGCACUGUGACGGGGCUUUGCCUUCGCUUGGGAGCUGCUCGAGGCCGGGUGCUCAGCGUCACCCCAGCCCUGGGCCCCUCGCUGCCCGGGGGAGGCCUGGAAGGGGGACAGUGGCGGCCACCGGCUGUGUCCUGGGCGCCCCGCGGCCCAGCUGCCUGCGCCGCCGCCUCUUGGUCCAUGGUCUCUGGGCCUCGGAACCAGCCCCAACCGGAUGGCCCCGCGGGGCCUGUGCCUCCCUCCCCUCCUCAGCUUCUGUCUCCCUCUGCUCCUCCUCGUGCGCUCUCCUCGCACUCCCAAAAAUAACCAAAUAAACAAAAUCUUUAAAUAAUAAUCA
rnacentral:lncRNA from 1 species